rnacentral:lncRNA from 1 species
AUUUUUUUUUUUCUUCCACAUAUAAGUGAUAUCAUAUGAUAUUUGUCUUUGGCUUACUUUAUUUAGUCUGAUUAUCUUGAAUUAGAAAGUUGGACUAACAUAUGCACACUACAACAUAUAAAAUAGAUAAGCAACAAGGGAACUUACUCAAUAUUUUGUAAUAACUUACAAGGGAAAAAAUCUGAAAAGGAAUACACACACAUACAUAUAUAUAACUAAAUCACUGCUAUGCAUAUCUGAAACUAACACAAUAUUGUAAAUCAACUAUACUUCAAUUCAAAAAAUAUUAAAUUCACCAGAGGAAAAAGAAAGAAAGAAACAGGUUUUCUGCUCAGCAAACAUUACCCUAUGGGUUGCUUACAAGUAGGGUUCCUUACAACCAGGGCUAGCUUUCUCCAGUUUUAUUGACUUCAAACCCAAAUUAUGCUGACUCUUAAAAGACAUUCAGAACACAAAUGUGAGACUUUACAAAAGGCCUAAAACACGGAAAGGCUAUGGAGCAGAUUCUCUUUAAACUCAAGUUGCAUGAGGUAGAGGAAAAUUUUCCGCAAAUUUAGCCCAUGGGUUUCUGUUUUACUGGGGGAGAAAGGGCCAUCUGUGUUACCCUAAGCCGAGGAAUCAUUUUAAUUAGAUGUUUUUGCACUUGCUUUAGAUGCGUGGAGAGGUUUGGAAGCUCUAGGAGAAGAAAGGUGUUGGGAACAAAUAAUUGCCUGCACCUUCUCUCCUGCCCAGAGGAAAGAGCCAGGAAAUAGGAAGAUUUCCAAGCCAAAGUCUGCAACUCAUCCAUGGGGCCACAGGAUGAUGCACAUCGCUGACUGGACUCAGGGCCCCUGGAGUCUCCCAUGGCCCACAAAUGCCUUGAACUGAACAUACUGCAGGGAUGCUGACAUCUAUAAACUUAUGAGUCUGAUGCGGUCUCCACUGCUAACUAACCUCUUGAAGCCUUCUUUUGCUCUUUGUGUUUUUUAUUGGAAAGUGGGCAAAAUGAUAGUGUCUACCUGUCUUAGUCCUAGUCCAUUCAGGCUGCUCUAACAGAAUAUCACAAACAGUAAGGUGGCUUUUAAAUGAGACAUUUAUUUCUCAUAACUCUGGAGGCUGGAAGUCCAAAACUGGGGGAUCCAGUAUGGUUGGAUGAGGGCCCUCUUCUGGGUUGUAGAUACCUCAGUAUACACUUAUGAGGGUAGAAAGGGACAGCAGAAGUGAUUUAUCAGGAGGCUUCUUACAUAAGGCACUAAUACCAUUCAUGAGGGCUGCACCCUCAUGACGUAAGCACCUCUCCGAGGCUUCAGCUCCUGACCAUCACCUUGCGAGUAGGUUCAGUCACUCAGUCAUGUCCAACUCUCUGUGGCUUCGUGGAUUGUAGACUGCCAGCCUCCUCUGUCCAUGGAAUUUUCUAGUCAAGAGUACUGGAGUGGGUUAACACGCCUUCUCCAGGGAUUCUUCCCGACCCAGGGAUUGAACUCGUGUCUCUUUCAUCUCCUGCGCUGGCAAGUGGAUUCUUUAUCACUGGGGGCUAAGAUUUCCACAUAUGAACUUUGAGGGGACACAAGCAUUCAGGUCGUAGUACUACCUCAAAGACUGCUUUAGGUUUUCCAUGAGGAAAUUAUAAAGCAUUUCAAUGCAUGUUUGGUUUAUGCCAAAACUCAAACUAAAUGGUGACUGUCUGUGACUUGCCAUUUUUGUGCCCAUUUUCUCAUUUGGAAAACAGGAUAAACAAUAAAUAACCCUUAUACUCUACUUCA